AGAAACAUUGACCCCAUAAAAAAAUCAUAGAGGAAACAGGUCCAGAAACGCUGACCCCAAAAAACCAGGUGGGAAACAGCCUCAGGAGCACUGACCCCAAAAAACCAGGCAGGAAACACCUGAGAAACACUGACCCCAAAAAGAGAGGCAGGAAACAAAUUCAGAAACACUAACCCCACAAAAAAAAUAUCAGGCAGGAAACGGGUCCAGGAGCACUGACCCCAAAAAAACCAGGCAGGACACAGCUCAGAAAUAUUGACCCCAGGAAAAAACAGGCAAGACAUACCUGGAAAAUAUUGACCCCAUAAAAAAACCCCAAAAAACGGGCAGGAAACACUUGAGAAACACUGACCCCAAAAAGAGAGGCAGGAAACACUUGAGAAACAUUGACCCCAUAAAAAAAACCAGGCAGGAAACAGGUCCAGGAACAUUGAA